AAAGGCGCUUCGGGAGGGGCCUGCGUCCGAUUAGCUCGUUGGUGGGGUAACGGCUCACCAAGGCGACGAUCGGUAGGUGGUCUGAGAGGACGAUCACCCAGACUGGGACUGAGACACGGCCCAGACUCCUGCGGGAGGCAGCAGUCGGGAAUUUUGGGCAAUGGGCGAAAGCCUGACCCAGCAACGCCGCGUGAGGGAUGAAGGCCUUCGGGUCGUAAACCUCUUUUCUCAGGGAAGAUAAUGACGGUACCUGAGGAAGAAGCCACGGCUAACUACGUGCCAGCAGCCGCGGUAAUACGUAGGUGGCGAGCGUUGUCCGGAUUUACUGGGCGUAAAGAGCGCGCAGGCGGUCGUACAAGUCGAAUGUGAAAGCCCCCGGCUUAACUGGGGAGGGUCAUUCGAUACUGUCCGACUCGAAGGCAGGAGAGGGAAGCGGAAUUCCCGGUGUAGUGGUGAAAUGCGUAGAUAUCGGGAGGAACACCAGUGGCGAAAGCGGCUUCCUGGCCUGUUCUUGACGCUGAGGCGCGAAAGCUAGGGGAGCAAACGGGAUUAGAUACCCCGGUAGUCCUAGCCGUAAACGAUGGACACUAGUGUUGGCGGUAUCAACCCCGCCAGUGCCGAAGCUAACGCAUUAAGUGUCCCGCCUGGGGAGUACGGCCGC
rnacentral:rRNA from 1 species